rnacentral:rRNA from 1 species
GACGAACGCUGGCGGCGUGCCUAAUACAUGCAAGUAGAACGCUGAAGGAGGAGCUUGCUUCUCUGGAUGAGUUGCGAACGGGUGAGUAACGCGUAGGUAACCUGCCUGGUAGCGGGGGAUAACUAUUGGAAACGAUAGCUAAUACCGCAUAAUAGCAGUUAUUGCAUGAUAACUGUUUGAAAGGUGCAAUUGCACCACUACCAGAUGGACCUGCGUUGUAUUAGCUAGUUGGUGGGGUAACGGCUCACCAAGGCGACGAUACAUAGCCGACCUGAGAGGGUGAUCGGCCACACUGGGACUGAGACACGGCCCAGACUCCUACGGGAGGCAGCAGUAGGGAAUCUUCGGAAAAGGACGGAAGUCUGACCGAGCAACGCCGCGUGAGUGAAGAAGGUUUUCGGAUCGUAAAGCUCUGUUGUAAGAGAAGAACGAGUGUGAGAGUGGAAAGUUCACACUGUGACGGUAUCUUACCAGAAAGGGACGGCUAACUACGUG